UCCUGAAUAAAGUGCAUUUCUGUAGCUCUCUAGUAAAACAAGGGAUUACUGUGUACUCUGCUAGUUGUUAAUGCCACAAUGAUGAUUCUAUAUUUGCUACUCUUGACAGCUGGAAUGACGAGAGAGCUUUACCACCUCAUUAUAACUGAGGCAAAUCUUUAUCUGUGUGCGCAGUCUGGCUGCAGUUUCUUUGUCUAACACUUCUUGUCUUUCUCCAGAUGUACAAAGUCACUUGCGCUAUCCCUGGCUUUUCAGUCUUGAUUUCUGAUGUUCAAAUGUGUUUGAAAUUUACCACCAGAGGGCCAUGAGCAGGUUUGUACUUUAAUUCUUAAGCCUUACUGCAGCCAUUUAUUUAGUGCAUUAGACAAGUGGUACUUUCUAUAGCAGCCUGUAUUUGGAGAUCUUAAAGGAUAGAAUUCAGACAUUGUUUUCAGGUCUUUAGAAUUAUCCAGGUAUAUUUUGUUGAAGGUAGGAAUUGUGCAUGUUUACUAUAAAGCUUAGUGAUCUAAAUAUGUCCCCUAAUCUGACGUGACAACCCCUACAGGUGUUGAUGCUUCAUAAAUAAAAUGGAAAUAUUAAUUUACCAUAGGAUUAUAAAGUGCCAACAUAUUCCGCAGCGCUGUCCAUGGGUACAAUUUAAAAAUUUAUUGCAGGCUCAAGAUUUUUAAGUUGGUUACUGAGCUGUAGGAAAUGUUAAACUGAAGUCUGUCUUGGAAUUAACCAGCUUUGUUCUAGUUUAAAUAGCAAUUUAGAUCUCAUUAUUCUGAACCUUUAAAAUUGUUCAUUGACCUGACACAAUGAUGAAAACAUAGUUCAGCAGAUGGACCCUGAUGAAUAUUACAGCUUGUCUUUCGCUCCUAUCUGAUGUCAGAUGCAAUAACUGAUUUGAGAGUUUUCAUUGUACUUUUGCUAACAUUCUUUUCUCUAGGUGAUGUGCUGCACCAGUGUUUAGGUAAGUGUCUCAAUCCUCAAAUUACAUUUCCUUUUAGGUAGGAAAAACAUCAGUUUGUUUCUGUACCUUGUUUUAAUUUAAUAACUGCAAAUUAGAUGCAAUAAUAUAAAACAAGGUUUUAAAGGGGCAGUAAUGUCAAAAUAAAACAAAUUGAUUGGAUAGAGGGAAAUUUGAAACGGUUUCAAAUUUUACUUUUACUUUGUUCUCUUGGUAUAAUUUAAAAGUAAUCCUAGGUGAGCUCAGGAGCGUGCAGUGUUUGCAUCAUUGUAUAACUGCAAUAAACAAACACAGCUGCCAUAAACUGCUAAAAGCUCACAAACACUCUUAACCUGUUAACCUACCUAGGUUUAUGCUUAAAGGGACACUAUACACUCAUUUUCAUAUAACUGCAUGUAAUAGACACUACUAUAAAGAAUAAUAUGCACAGAUACUGAUAUAAAAAUCCAGUAUAAAACAGUUUAAAAAUUUACUUAGAAGCUGUCAGUUUAGCUCUGUUUAAAAGGUAGCUGGAAAGCCCACUGCAAGUGGAAAAAUAAGACACUCCCCCCUCCCCCUUAUUUUGCAUAUGAAAAGACCCUUUACACAAACAAGCUGGAGAAGGUAGCUGACAGUAUUCACAUAAAACUUUGGGGCUUGGUUAGGAGUCUGAAAAUCAGAGCAAUGUUAUUUAAAAAUAAGCAAAACUAUACAUUUAUUUAAAAGAAAAACUUUAUAGGCUAUAUAAAUCAUCUACAAAACAUUUAUGCAAGGAAAAAAUGAGUGCAUAAUGUCCCUUUAAACAAAACCAAUCUGAUAGAGCAUCCACCAGAGAACAAGUAUUUAAAGUAGAUCUAAAUAAGGUGAUUAAUCUGACACCAAGAUGAAAACAUAGUUCAGCAGAUGGACCCUGAUGAAUAUUACAGCUUGUCUUUCGCUCCUAUCUGAUGUGUCAGAUGCAAUAAUGGAUUCUUGAGGGUUUUCAUUGUACUCUUUUGCUAACCUUAUUUUUUUCUCUAGGUCAUUGGGUCAUGUUCUGCACCAGUGUUUGGUGUAAGAUCAUGCCUGGUUGAAGAUGGAAGUACAGGUCAUGUAACAUUUAAGGACUGAAGAAAUUUACCAGAUGUAGGUGGGUCUCUGCCAAAACUGAUGAAGGUUGCUAAUCAUCCUGACACUAUGAUGAUCACAUAGUUCAACAGAAUAACCCUGAUGAACGUCUU